UACGUAGGGGGCAAGCGUUGUCCGGAUUUACUGGGCGUAAAGCGCACGCAGGCGGUUUGGCGCGUGGGGUGUGAAAUCCGGCCGCUUAACGGCCAGGCGCCAUCCCAUACGGCCGGACUGGAGCCUUGCAGAGGUCGGUGGAAUUGCCGGUGUAGUGGUGAAAUGCGUAGAGAUCGGCAGGAACACCCAGGGGGAAGCCAGCCGACUGGGCAAGUGCUGACGCUGAGGUGCGAAAGCGUGGGGAGCGAACCGG
rnacentral:rRNA from 1 species